UUCAUGUUUCGCCGAAAUCAUCGAAUUGCGCUCUUGAAAUUGCAAAUGAACAAAAAUUCUUUUUUGGGCAGUUUAGUGGGGGAAGACUUCAAAAUUUCAAGCUCAGCAGACCCCGAUGCAGGUCUCUCCAUAUACGGUUACUUGCAUGUCGUCGAUGUCGAUUACAUAUAUCUAAAUCUCUGAUUUGAUAAUGAUAUUAAAAUGGUGAAGAUUCAAUUGCUGGUUAUCGAAUUGAUGAGGAUGAAGCAAUAUUUAAAUCUCCAACAAUUGCUGAGAGAUUGGAUCUCAAGUUAUGCACAAAACCUUGCUGCCGAAUCUUUUAACUGAUGAUCAUUUCCGAUGCGAUGGGAGUUGUCUUGGAGGUGUAUAAUGUUUAAAGUUUUAUAUCUAAUCGUAGAAUUUUAAUUGAACAAAGUUUCUGCUCCAAUUGUUUGCAGUUGCCAUAGAAUUUCAUGGACCCUGGGUUUUGUUAGUACUCAUAUACUCAUAUACAAAUUCUCGCUAAGCAGGACUUUACAAUCAAGAGUUACACUCAUAAACUUAAAUGAAGGUGUCAAUUGCAUCUUAUCAUCUCUGUUAUGAAAUCCUCUCGGUACCACAUCAAAAGCUAAAAGAUAAUUCUUUGGAUUAUUUCUAGUCAGUGAAGUGAAUAUUAGCCUGCAUGAUUUCCAAUAUGGAAUCAGUUCCCCUUGUGUCACACAGGAGAUUCCCCUAAUAUAUAUGAGAUCUUCUGUAGAUUAAUUUUAUAAUUCUAUGAUGUACAAUUGUGUAGAUUCUUUUCAUUUAUAACUGUAUUUUGUCCUAUAAAUGUAGUCUUUGCAUUUCAAUACAUUAUGAUGAAGUAUAUACUCUCUCUUUCUUUUCAUGGUAUUAGAGCCUUGCUCUACCAAUCAGAAAAGGUUACUAGUUAGAGCUCUAGUUAUGUUAGUUUUGUAAUUGUCUCUAGUUCUUGGUGCAUAUACUUCCAAAGUCAGGCAAUCAUUUAUUUGCUGCCAGAUUCUGCCCAAUAAGCCAACUCAACCUCCAUUCCCUCUAUUUCAGUGGCUAGAAUUUAUGCUAACUAAUCAAAUUCUGUCCAACCUCUGGAUCUCCUAGAUUCAGUGCUUUUUUGAUUGAAGUCAAGUGCAAAUGUCAACUUAUAGGGACGACGAGUUCUACUCGUACCUCAGCGGGCUUUGAAUUCUGAUGUGCUGAUUCAGAUCUUAUGCUCAAUUUUGACCUGAUGCGCAAGAAUCACACUUUAUUUUGAUCAGCAGUUUAUUCUAUAAUGUCUCAUUGGUCACUUCAAGAAUCUAGCAUGAUACGUAUUUGAAUAACAUUAACCUAUCUGUGGCAGUUCAAACUCUUAUAUCGAUUACUAUUUGUCUAAGAAGAAGAAAAUCACACCCCAGGCAGCGGUCUUUGCUUCCUGUUAUUAGGUGUUCGAAUAUUAGGUAGAGUUUAAGGAAUUGAUGAAGCACAUGCUUUACUCAGUCAGGUAAUAAAGAAUGGACUUACCUCUGCACGUCGUAUCUUAUGGGUUUGCUAUUAUAUUGGUCAAUGUUCUUGUUCAAAUUGCCACCUUCCCUUUGACAAAGAAAUAGGUAAAUUUUGCUGCCACUAAUAUUAAGCCAGAUAUGUCUAAUUACUCUAUAACGCAUCUCUUUCUGCUCAGGUAUUCGUGAUCUAAUUUAAUAUUUGUUUUGAGAGGGUAGCAUUUAAUUUCCAUGUCUGAUUUGUUUUUGUUUGGUCGUUUUCUGCAGCAACACAAAAUUUUUUCUUUUUAUUUUCAAUUUUAAAUGUAAAAUUUGAUUUAUGUGGUAUCAUUAGUUUAGGAUAGCGAAUUUUUGUAAUGUAUACGUUUGGAUCAACAUUGGCAUGCAUAACCUCAUGGAACAUAAAUAAGGGAUGCAUGAAGAAUUCAAAAUUUUCUAAUGUUAUGAUUUUAAUGGUAACGCAUAACACCAUAAACUGGCAUCACUUAUGUGAAAGUUACAGCUGGAGUUUUCUUGUGUGAAAGGUCUUCCAAUGUUAGGUAUCUGUUGUAGAAUUGUUUUCCUGCUUCAAAAUAAACCUUAGAAUUGGUUUAGUGUUCUGCAAGUAUGUAAUAUCACACGCUGAGAGUCCUAUCCUGACAUAAACAUUUAUUGCUUUGUAGCAUUCUCUGAACUCCAUGCUAUUUUUUCCCCUCUGAAAACAAUAUAAAGCACAUGUUUCUUUCAUCAGACUAGUCAAGUAAACGAUGAGUUCAUUCAUAAUCAUAUCCAUGUAGACAGGUAGACACUAGACACCUACCCACCCACCCACAAGGACAUGGGGUAAGAGAUAGAGGGAGGAAGUUACAUCCUUGUCUGUGCAUGUUCUAACAUGACAGUUGGAAAGUAAUGCAUGGAGUUCCGGGUACGUUUCCUGUCCCCAGAGACCCUAUAAUCUUAGGAUUCCUUUGACCUGUUCGGAGUAGUGGUUCUAGGUAUUAUAGGUAAAACAUGAAAAAAUGGGAGAGUUUAAUAGAUAAGUUCUUUGUCCCUGGUCAAAGUUGAGAUUGCUGGUAUCAUUAACCUCCCUGGUCAAAGUUGAGAUUGCUGGUAUCAAUAACCUAAUAAUUAGUUGGAGCAGUACCAAAAGUUCAGCUUUUCAUAGAAGUCUACAUGUUACUCUAGGUUUGUUGUCUCCAAUUUGAUAAUUGGGUUUGGUUACGGAUGUCAAAUCUUUGGACCAGGGGAUUUGAUCAAAAGGGUUUUGACAUUAGACAUGGUUACAUGUUAUUCAUAAAAUUAAUCUUUACACAUGCUCUAGAAAUGUUGUACAUAUUUCGACUAUAUAAAGAACAAAAUUUGUACAUAAUCCAUUGGAAAAUGAUUCUAGAAAAGUCAAAUUUUGACACUUUGGUAGUAACAGUGGUAGUGGUCCAUUCCUGAUGGAUCGACACAAAUCCCUCGGGUUCUAGUAUUAGGGUAGCCAAUGAGCUGGAGUGAAAAUGGUAUUUCUGAAAAAUGGGGUAGUACAUCCAUUAUGCACCAGAAACACACACAUAAUUGCUUGUCUGCUGCUGGUAAUCACAAUCUUCUCUAUGGGUUGAAAUAUGACAUACAGUUAUUAGAAGAUCUAGUAUUGCUACUUACUCGAGAAACUGAUUAUCUUAAAAUAGAUUUUAAUAGAAUUCAAUCAGCAGGAUAAGGAGUUCUGGAUGAGUCAUAUGCUUUUAUUGGCAGCAAAUCAGUUCCAAAGCCGCCCUCAGGUGGAAUAAAAGAUCAGAGAACAAGUGUUUGGUAUGCAUUGUUUUAUUGCCAGUAAACAUUGUAUGUAUGAUAAACUGCACGCCAGUCAAAUGGUCAAUUUCUGGUCGUCAUUUUCAUGCCAGUCAUUAGUUGAGGUCUAACAAUAUUAUUAAAAAAUCAAUUACUGUUUGUUCCCAUGCAUGCUUGAUACUGAAUAUCAUCUUUCAGACUGUCAAGUAUAUCAUAUUUAUAUGAAAAUUGUGCAGUGUUGCCAAAUAUGAGGGUAGCAUGGUAAGCAAAAUGUUACCUCAUGCAUCAUUCUUGCUUUUCAAAAUCAUGUAUGGACUAGGGGUUGAAUUGGAGCUGAAUCUACCCAAAAUAGUAUCAUUUGGAACCAGUACUUUUUGCUUUAAAUUGAGAAAUGGUUGGCAAUUGUCUCUCUCCCCGACUGCCCACUCCAGAUGACUUUUCCAUCCUGAGCAGCAUUGGUAUAGAUUUUCUUCUCUUUUAUUUUUGUUCUAUAAGCUUAUAUCUUGUUGACAACAGAGAAUAUGCUAAUUAGAACCAUUGAAAUUGAACACAAAGUAAACCCUUUGAGCCUUACUGUAGUGAGCUGUAAUUUGUAAAUAGAAAUUCUGAUGAACUUCUGAGACCUGAUAUGUCAUACAGAAAACAGAUUUAGCCUAUGUUUUGCCCUCAUUUUUCCAAAACUCAUUUUUUCAAAACUCAUUUUCAACUACACGUUCUCCUAUAAAAUAAUUUUAUUUGCAAAUCUAAAACUUUACCUUAUUUUUUAACCACAAAUUCUCCAACAAAAUACUAUUCCAAAAUGCUUUUUGGGCAAAAAAUGGGGCUCAAACUAAUAUUGUGGUUUUCCAGCAAUUUUUGAUACUGCAUAAAUUUGAUUUUCAUAGCUAUGCUUAGAUUAAAUAAAUGAGGUAUCUAAGAGUUGGCAGUUCUGUAGAUAGUAAAUCAUUUUCUGGAACACAUAUUAGAUGUAGGCAAAUUAAAUCUUAAAAGUAAGUACUAUUAUACUAGUAACCUGAACAUAAGUUUCAAUUAAUGCCAAUAUGUUUAACCUCCAACUUUGAAGGAAUAUUGUGUUCUACAGAGAAUAAAUGCUCCACUUUAGGGUCUUGAUGGUGGACGAUGAUUUCCAAUUGGAUUUGGUCCAGAUGGUGUUUUACAAUUUUUCUUGCUUUUUCCCUCCUCGAUGCCAUUUUCCUGUCGGUAAAACACGAGUCAUGAAUCACCAUUUUAUCACCUUAGAUAAAAACAAUACUUGGACUGUAAAUGAAGGAUAGAACUUGCUUGUACUCUUACCGAAGUUCUCACAAUGUGUCCAGCUGCUAUCCUCGUGCUGUAAAAUUCUGCAGGUUUGAUCUUCAAACCAACUGUUGUGAGGAUUUAGAAGGUAGAGGCUUCAUUAAAAACUUGAAUUUUUAAGAACCAAAUAAUUAAUUUGAUUUAAUGGUAAGCAUUAUUAAGGUAGUUGAACUACAUCAUCAAAAAACUUGAGCCAUUAGACAUGCUCUCAACAUGCACAAUCUUUUGUACGUGGACGGGAAGAAACUUGAAGCUAGAAAAAUUGUUUGUUCUGACACAUGUUAAACUACCUCAUUUAAAAGCUUAAACUGUUUGAUUGAGGAAUAUUCCUUGUAGACAUGCUUUUAAGUUUAAAAAUGCUAGAGCACGACAUUUAACUUAAGCAUGUUGAUUGCAAAUGUACUACCACAACAAGUAUAUUUAAGCAUGUCAUCUCAAAUUAUGAGAAAUAUAGUAGCUUGCCUGAUUCGGUUGGUCGACUGACACGACUAAUAGCCUGAUGCUGUUGAAAUGCUGCUGAGAUAAGCCAUGCAAGGAGAAGAUAGAGUAGAAUCCGAGUUCUUAUCAUCUUAAACACAAGCCUGGGAAAGGAGAUUUGUAAGCAGAAGACUGGAAUUGAAAUAUGAACACUUUGUUUAGGUGCUCUGUGUAUGCUAAUGAUAACCAAUCUUGAAAAACAUGGAAUGUGUGCAAAGUGUGCUUGGGAUCCUAUGCUAUUUAUGCAAUAGGCGACAGGAUUAGGAAUCUGGCUUUUUACUCAUUGUGAAUUGACUUCUUUUGCUUCAUCAUUGCAUUCAUAAUGAGUUUGAGUUGAAUUCAAUCCAGUCAUGAUUGGGUUCUUCAUAAAUGUAACUAUAGCAUUGUCUUUUUGAGUAGUCAAAGCUUUUUGUCUGCA